rnacentral:rRNA from 1 species
GGGGGAAAAUUAAUAAAAUAUAAGUAAAAAAAAAAUUUUUAAUAUGGGGGUAUUAAAGUAUUUUUUAAAGAAAAAAUAAUAAUUUUUAUAGUUAAUUAGUAUUGUAGAAGAAAUUUGAAAUAAUUGAAAAUAAAUUAAUUAAAAAGUAAUUUUAAUUUAAUGUAUCUUGUGUAUCAGAGUUUAUUAAAAAAUAUUUUUUAUAAAAAAAAAUCUCGAAUUUAAAAGAGUUAAUUAAUUAUAAAAAUUAAUGUUGAAUAAUUAUUUUAAAUAAUUAAUUAGAAAUGAAAUGUUAAUCGUUUUUAAAUAUAUCUAGUUUUUUUAGAAAAAAAUUUAAUUUAAAAUUUAAAAAAUUUUAUUAUAUAAUUAAUGAUAAUAAAAUAUUUAAAAUUAAAUAUAUUAAGGGAUAAGCUUUAAUAUAAAUUUUUAUAAUUAAAAUAAUUUAAAUUAAAAAUUUUAAAAUUUAUAUUGUUUAAAAAUUAUAAUUUAUUAUAAAAAAUUUUUUUUAAAAAAAAAUUUAAUAAAAUUUAAUUUUUUAUAAAAUAAUAAUUUUUAAUAUUAAAAAAUUAAUAAUAAUGAUAAAAUUAGUAUAUUAAUUUAUAAAAAAAAAUUAAAAUUAAUAAAAAUUAAAUUAAAGGAAUUCGGCAAAAAUUUAUUUUCACUUGUUUAUCAAAAACAUGUCUUUUAGAUUAAUAAUUUAAAGUCUGAUCUGCCCACUGAUAUAAAAAUUAAAGGGCUGCAGUAUAUUGACUGUACAAAGGUAGCAUAAUCAAUAGUCUUUUAAUUGAAGACUUGUAUGAAAGAUUUGAUGANAAUAUAAACUGUCUCUGAUUUAAAAUUAGAAUUUAAUUUUUUAGUUAAAAAGCUAAAAUUUAUUUAAAAGACGAGAAGACCCUAUAGAGUUUUAUAUUGUUUUUAUUUAAGAUUAUAUUUAUAAUUAAUAAUUAAAAAUAAUGAUAAUAUUUUAUUGGGGUGAUAGAAAAAUUAAAAUAACUUUUUUUAAAUAAAUACAUAAAUAAGUGAAAUUAUGAUCCAUAUUUAAUGAUUAAAAGAAAAAAUUACCUUAGGGAUAACAGCGUAAUAUUUUUUUUUAGUACAAAUAAAAAAAAAAGUUUGCGACCUCGAUGUUGAAUUAAGAUAAAAAUUAAAUGCAAAAGUUUAAAUUUUUGAUCUGUUCGAUCAUUAAAAUCUUACAUGAUUUGAGUUCAAACCGGUGUGAGCCAGGUUGGUUUCUAUCUUUAGAAUAAUAAAAUAUUUUAGUACGAAAGGAUCAAAUAUUUUUAAUAUUUAAAUUAAUAAGAAUUUUAUUAAAAUUAAUUACUAUUUUGGCAGAAAAAUGUAGUGAUUUUAGAAGUCAUAAAUG